CAAUAGCGUAUAUUAAAGUUGUUGCGGUUAAAAAGCUCGUAGUUGGAUUUCUGCCGAGGACGACCGGUCCGCCCUCUGGGUGAGUAUCUGGCUCGGCCUGGGCAUCUUCUUGGAGAACGUAGCUGCACUUGACUGUGUGGUGCGGUAUCCAGGACUUUUACUUUGAGGAAAUUAGAGUGUUUCAAGCAGGCUUACGCCUUGAAUACAUUAGCAUGGAAUAAUAAGAUAGGACCUCGGUUCUAUUUUGUUGGUUUCUAGAGCUGAGGUAAUGAUUAAUAGGGAUAGUUGGGGGCAUUCGUAUUUAACUGUCAGGGGUGAAAUUCUUGGAUUUGUUAAAGACGGACUACUGCGAAAGCAUUUGCCAAGGAUGUUUUCAUUGA
rnacentral:rRNA from 1 species